ACAAACAUAUCCCUUGCAGCGCCGCACAAAGCUCCAGAUCUCAGAGCCAUGGCGAUGACGGAGGUGGAGCCUGAUGGAUUCGAGUUUCUAUGUAGCAGAUCAGUUUAUUGGUAUGCUCUCUGUUUUUUCAUAGAUUUCCCCUGCCGGAUCUUACCGGCGGCGACUCCAUACUCCGCAACGAACCCAUUGGAACUCUCCUCUACACACCCUCCGAGUCUAGCAUCGGCGACGCGGCUGAGGUAGCGCUUACAGUGGAAGCAGAUUUCAAAAGCGCUUGCGGGGGCGCGACACUGCCAGCUCCAACCUCAUAGCAAUCAACUAGCAAAGAUGAUCCUCAGGUGCCCGGCUGGGCCAAAAGGUUUGUGAAUAUGAUAUUGAAUCCGUAGUUCUUAUAUCCCUUGAAUUAGAUUGAAUUAUGAACUAUCUGAACCUGUUUUUCUGCUGAAAACAUAAUUGAAACCCGCUUGAUGUGAGCCUGCAGUCAUGGCGUAUAAUAACAUUUAGCGAGACCUGUCAAUUAUUCCUAGGUUUUCGAUUAUGCAUCACUAAAAGAUGGACCUAAAAAACGUUACAAGGUUUGCGUUUGGCAUGCACCAACUGAACGCCCACCAUGUGCUGGCAGGAUAAGUGCCCUAGAGAAAGCAUUGAGAGGUUAUGCAAAUGAGAAGACUGCCACAGUCAUUGUCCCUGCUGUUGGAAACAACUUCGAUUCACUCAGGGAGGCAUGUGACUUUUACAAUCUGUAUUCCUAGGAAAUUAGGUUCGGGAUAAGAUAUGACAAGAGCGGGCAUGUUGAGAGAACAAAAUGCAUGAAGGUGAUCGUUUGUGGUUGCUCGGUACACACUGUUUUCAAAAUUGUUGUCAAUGUAACACCACACUUAGCGUAUCUUUCGUAAAAUGUCACCCAAAAAAUAAAUUCACACCUAUAUGCUUUAAUACAUUUUUUUGCUUAGAAAUUUGCACGGGGUCCCAAAAGAAGGAACACACGUUCAUGUCGUUGAUCCAUGGAUGAGUGAAGGGUUGUCAGUGGCCGCGAGCAGCUCGUGCGGAGAAGUUUGUCUUGAUGUGUGUCGACGAUUCUUGAUCUAAAUGGUUUGUCAGACAGCCGCAACAUGUGAGUGGACUCCGGCCAGUCAACGAGAAAAGAUGACCCACACUCACCAGGAUGGAUGCAAAAGAGUUCACGUUGAGCACCGUUGCCGUGUGUCCGGAGGGUAUGUGCACCAGAGAGUACUUUUGGAGGAUUCACGGAGAAGAAGAGACGUGAUUUAGUUGCUCCUGGAGUUGGGGCUACAUUCGACUCUGUUUGUUCAGGCGUACGACCUGUACAACUUGUACAGGUGUACUCUCGGAAAAUUCGAUUUGGUAUCCGGUACAGCAAGAGAGAUUAAAUGUUGAGCCCACAAAGUGUAUGCAAGAGAUUGUAUGCAGCUGCUCGGGUAUACCAAAGAAGAGAAGAGCAAUACUAGAUCGUGUUGAUGUGAGUGCCCUGCAACGAUACGUCUCUGGAGCAGCACACAAGAGAUUUACACCCGGGCAAUGUUUGAGAAGUUCGGUAGGAGGCAGGGCGAUACAAGAUUGAAGAGGCGGAGAAAGGCGUAAAAUACCUCGUGAAGCGGCACCAUCCAGAGAAGCAUGAUAAAUGGUGCCACAUCGUGUAUGCGGUGCACAUGGAAGAUCAGAGUUUCUCUGCGAGUGUGGAAAUUUCAAGCAUAGCAGGCUAUUGUGUUGCAUGCUUUGAAGGUCAAGGGGAGUGCCACCGGUAAUUUAACUGACCUCUUCGCACCGCUUCGGAAACACAAGCCAGGGAGACCAACUAGCAGUCGAGACAAGCCUAUAUUCGAUGAUAGAGCAUUGAAGAGCUCAAAGAAGAAACAGAAAGAGAAUAUUGGGGAGGCAGUUGGGUGUGGUUCAAGUAAGUGAACCUGGUUAUGUACCAUCUGUAGGCAGAAAUGGAAGAAAGCGCACGACCUGCCCGACCGGGUCGACAUGCCAAAUAAGCUAGGGAAAGAGCUGACAUGAACAAAUUAUGGUGUUGGUUGGUUGGGUACCGGAGGAACACUUGCGACAACCCUAACAUUGUGCUUCACAAGGUGCUGCCUGCAUGAGGCUGAUGUAGUUGAUACUGCAGUUUUGAAGAUUCUGCAAAAAAAAUUGUUUCUAAAUAAUCAAACUUUCCUGUACGCCGGGAUGUACUGAAUUUUUUUCCUCUAAGAGCAAACAAUGUCGUAGUGAGCUGCCGGAAUA